UUCCGAUUCGGUUCUACCAUACCGCUCUCUCGGUCCAGUGUCACCAAAUUGUGUCCGACUUUUACUUUCUCAUGGUUGCAUCAACUUCCGGGGUACCUUAACAGAACAAGCAUGGGGAGUGUCUUUCAUCCACUACAAUCGAUCCCGGAUUCGUCCAAUAAUUUCUCAUCACUUUGUACACACAGGUAAACAAUAAAAACAAAAUACUACAACAACAGAAGCAAAAAUGAAAGCC
rnacentral:lncRNA from 1 species